rnacentral:piRNA from 1 species
UACUUAAUAUCAUUUGGGUCCAUUCGUAU